UCCAGCGGGUGCGAGCGUUGUCCGGAAUCACUGGGCGUAAAGGGCGCGUAGGCGGCCUGGCACGUCGAUGGUGAAAGCUCAGGGCUCAACUCUGAGUCGGCCAUCGAUACUGCUAUGGCUCGAGUCUGGUAGAGGCAGAUGGAAUUCCACGUGUAGCGGUGAAAUGCGCAGAUAUCAGGAGGAACACCGAUUGCGAAGGCAGCUCGCUGGAACGUUACUGACGCUGAGACGCGAAAGCGUGGGGAGCAAACAGG
rnacentral:rRNA from 1 species